rfam:Cucumis melo, WGS project CAJI01000000 data, contig: 11915
GUUUGGCAGUGAGGAUUGAACUUCACCUUAUAAUGCCAGUUCUGCUUCAGAAUUUGAUGAUUGAUAAAGCUGUUACAUUAAUCUGAGCCUUC